rnacentral:rRNA from 1 species
ACGGGAGGCAGCAGUGGGGAAUAUUGCACAAUGGGGGAAACCCUGAUGCAGCGACGCCGCGUGAGUGAAGAAGUAUUUCGGUAUGUAAAGCUCUAUCAGCAAGGAAGAAAAUGACGGUACUUGACUAAGAAGCCCCGGCUAACUACGUGCCAGCAGCCGCGGUAAUACGUAGGGGGCAAGCGUUAUCCGGAUUUACUGGGUGUAAAGGAGCGUAGACGGUAAGGCAAGUCUGAAGUGAAAUGCAUGGGCUCAACCCAUGAACUGCUUUGGAAACUGUCUGACUAGAGUGCAGGAGAGGUAAGUGGAAUUCCUAGUGUAGCGGUGAAAUGCGUAGAUAUUAGGAGGAACACCAGUGGCGAAGGCGGCUUACUGGACUGUAACUGACGUUGAGGCUCGAAAGCGUGGGGAGCAAACAGGAUUAGAUACCCUGGUA